rnacentral:rRNA from 1 species
GAGGAAAGUUGAAAAGAACUUUGAAGAGAGAGUUCAAGAGGACGUGAAACCACUGGUGGCGAAGCGGAUAGAGUUGACGAAACUGGUGCAAUCAGUGUCGAGUGUCUCUGUGUCGCUGUCAUGUCUUUGCUUUGUUGUUGCGAGGCGGGGCGUGGCGAUGAUGCGGCUCGGCGUGCAUUUGUGACCGGUGGUGCCGAGGUGCUAGAUGGCUUCUUCGGAAGUUGCCGAUGUUGCCCACUUUCGAGUGGUGUCUUGUCGGUGGCGGAUGUUGUUUGUAGCCGUUUAGCGUUGCGAAAGCGCGUGCUCUGCGUCUGUGCGGGUGCUACCUCAUGUGCGUGCUGGCUGCGCGGUGGCUUGCCACUUGCGUUGCCUGUUGCGUAUGUGCUGGUGCUUCUGCGUUGAGUGCGUUCUCGGUGGAAAAGUCGACCACCUAUCCGACCCGUCUUGAAACACGGACCAAGAAGUGUAGUAUUUGCGCGAGUCAUUGGGUGUAAAACCUAUUGGCGAAAUGAAAGUAAAGCCGGCCUCGCGUCGGUGAUAUGCGAAACGUUCGUCUUUGGAUGUGCGUUGCAGCAUAGCCCCAUGCUGGCUGCUUGCAGCGGUGUGGAGGUAGAGCGUAAAUACUGCGACCCGAAAGAUGGUGAACUAUGCCCGAGCAGGAUGAAGCCAGAGGAAACUCUGGUGGAAGUCCGAAGCGGUUCUGAC